rnacentral:rRNA from 1 species
UACGUAGGUGGCAAGCGUUUGUCCGGAUUUACUGGGCGUAAAGGGCGUGCAGGCGGUUUGUCUAGUCUAGGGUGAAAGCUCCCGGCUUAACUGGGAGAGGUCCUUGGAUACUGGCAAACUUGAGGGAGGCAGAGGAAAGUGGAAUUCCCGGUGUAGUGGUGAUAUGCGUAGAUAUCGGGAGGAACACCAGUGGCGAAGGCGGCUUUCUCGGGGCCUUACCUGGACGCUG